GACGAACGCUGGCGGCGUGCCUAAUACAUGCAAGUCGAACGCUUCUUUCCUCCCGAGUGCUUGCACUCAAUUGGAAAGAGGAGAGGCGGACGGGUGAGUAACACGUGGGUAACCUACCCAUCAGAGGGGGAUAACACUUGGAAACAGGUGCUAAUACCGCAUAACAGUUUAUGCCGCAUGGCAUAAGAGUGAAAGGCGCUUUCGGGUGUCGCUGAUGGAUGGACCCGCGGUGCAUUAGCUAGUUGGUGAGGUAACGGCUCACCAAGGCCACGAUGCAUAGCCGACCUGAGAGGGUGAUCGGCCACACUGGGGCUGAGACACGGCCCAGACUCCUACGGGAGGCAGCAGUAGGGAAUCUUCGGCAAUGGACGAAAGUCUGACCGAGCAACGCCGCGUGAGUGAAGAAGGUGUUCGGAUCGUAAAACUCUGUUGUUAGAGAAGAACAAGGACGUUAGUAACUGAACGUCCCCUGACGGUAUCUAACCAGAAAGACACGGCUAACUACGUG
rnacentral:rRNA from 1 species